UACGGGGGGGGCAAGCGUUGUUCGGAAUUACUGGGCGUAAAGGGCUCGUAGGCGGCCAACUAAGUCGGAUGUGAAAUCCCCAGGCUUAACCUGGGAAUUGCAUCCGAUACUGGAUGGCUUGAAUCCGGGAGAGGGAUGCGGAAUUCCAGGUGUAGCGGUGAAAUGCGUAGAUAUCUGGAGGAACACCGAUGGCGAAGGCAGGUCUCUGGGCCGAUACUGACGCUGAGGAGCGAAAGCGUGGGGAGCGAACAGG
rnacentral:rRNA from 1 species